AUAUAUGUUCUUCUUUCUAACACCUUUACUCACCAGGCAUCAGGAUGUCACAUUAUAGGUCUUACCAAGAUACUUUAUUUUUUUGCAAAAAUCAUCUUGGAUGUGUUCAAAUUCCUUCGCUUACGUAGAGUUUUGCUAGUGGCAGAAAAAUAUUAAUGGUGUUAAGUUUGUUGUUACUGUGUGCCUUUGAUCGAACGCAAUUGAACUUAUUAGACCCUUGACUGAAGACAAUUAAAUACAUUAGGUCAUU
rnacentral:lncRNA from 1 species